rnacentral:rRNA from 2 species
GCCUAAAACCCAGCCCUAUGUUACCGAAUGUAACACCCCAUAAUAAAGAACCAAACUAAAACAUUUUCUUAACCAAGUAAAGGCGAUUAAAAAGUUUAUAGGAGCCUCAACAUCAGUACCGCAAGGGAAAAGUGAAAUAAAAAUGAAAUAAGUUUAAAGCAUAUUAAAGUAGUGAUUAAGCCCCGUACCUUUUGCAUCAUGGUCUAACUAGCAAAAUCAAGCAAAAUGAACUUUAAGUUUGACCCCCCGAAACUAGACGAGCUACUUCAAAACAGCCCCGCGAGCCAACCCGUCCCUGUUGCAAAAGGGUGGGAAGAUUUUUAAGUAGAGGUGAUAAACCUACCGAGUCCAGAGAUAGCUGGUUAUUCAGGAAAAGGAUCUAAGUCCAAUUUUAAUCCUUUACACAAUACAAAAUGUACCCACAGGCUUAAAAUUCACUCAAAUAAGGUACAGCCUAUUUGAGACAGGAGACAACCUACGACAUAGGGUAAUGCUUAACCAACGUGACCAAGUAGGCCCAAAAGCAGCCAUCUUUAAAAAAGCGUUAAAGCUUUACCACGCCCAAUUGUUAAUUCCAACCCGCUCCCAAAACCCCUCACUUAUACUGAAUGACUCUAUACUUUUAUAGAAGCCCUCAUGCUAGAACUAGUAACAAGAAUACCCAUUCUCCUACAAAUGUAAGUGUAAGCCAGUAUGGAUCCCCCACCGGCACUCACCGCCAAUGAAUUAACAGUAGCAACUUCCACAAGAAAAACCUACUUCACCCAGCGUUAACCUUACACAAGAGCUUUUCUGGAAAGAUUAAAAAAAGAGGAAGGAACUCGGCAAACACUAACCCCGCCUGUUUACCAAAAACAUCACCUUCUGACAACCAAUUGAAGGCCCAGCCUGCCCAGUGACAAACUUAAACGGCCGCGGUACCUUAACCGUGCAAAGGUAGCACAAUCACUUGUUCUUUAAAUAAGGACUAGUAUGAACGGCACCACGAGGGUUAUACUGUCUCCCCCCUUUAAUCAGUGAAACUAAUUUCCCCGUGAAGAAGCGGGGAUAAACCUAUAAGACGAGAAGACCCCAUGGAGCUUUAAACUAUGUACCACUUAUACCAUGCAUACCACUUAAAUUAAGUAAGUCUGUUUACUAGUUUUUGGUUGGGGUGACCGCGGAGCAAAACAAAACCUCCAUGACGAAAGGAAACACCCUCCUAAUCAGAGAGCCACCACUCACAGAAUCAAAAUAUUGACCUAAAUUGACCCAAUACAUUUGAACAACGAACCAAGUUACCCUGGGGAUAACAGCGCAAUCCAUUUCAAGAGCCCGUAUCAACAAAUGGGUUUACGACCUCGAUGUUGGAUCAGGGUAUCCUAGUGGUGUAGCCAUUACUAAAGGUUCGUUUGUUCAACGAUUAAAACCCUACGUGAUCUGAGUUCAGACCGGAGUAAUCCAGGUCGGUUUCUAUCUAUAAAGCGUUUUCCCCAGUACGAAAGGACCGGGACAACAUGGCCAAUGCAUAAACAAGCCAUCGCUAUUAACUAAUGACCCCGACUCAAUAAGUUUUAGCCUAAUAAUAACCUUAAGAUAAAAGA